rnacentral:rRNA from 1 species
UACGUAGGGGGCAAGCGUUGUCCGGAAUUAUUGGGCGUAAUGAGCGUGUAGGCGGUCCGGUAAGUCAGCUGUGAAAAGUCAAGGGCUCAACCCCUUGAAAGCCGGUUGAUACUGUCGGGCUAGAGUCCGGAAGAGGCGAGUGGAAUUCCCGGUGUAGCGGUGAAAAUGCGCAGAUAUCGGGAGGAACACCAAUGGCGAAGGCAGCUCGCUGGGACGGUACUGACGCUGAGACGCGAAAGCGUGGGGAGCAAACAGG